ACAGGAUUAGAUACCCUGGUAGUCCACGCCGUAAACGAUGUCUACUAGCCGUUGGAAGACUUGAUCUUUUAGUGGCGCAGCUAACGCGAUAAGUAGACCGCCUGGGGAGUACGGCCGCAAGGUUAAAACUCAAAUGAAUUGACGGGGGCCCGCACAAGCGGUGGAGCAUGUGGUUUAAUUCGACGCAACGCGAAGAACCUUACCAGGUCUUGACAUCCUGAGAAUCCUUUAGAGAUAGAGGAGUGCCUUCGGGAACUCAGAGACAGGUGCUGCAUGGCUGUCGUCAGCUCGUGUCGUGAGAUGUUGGGUUAAGUCCCGUAACGAGCGCAACCCUUGUCCUUAGUUGCCAGCACGUAAUGGUGGGAACUCUAAGGAGACUGCCGGUGACAAACCGGAGGAAGGUGGGGACGACGUCAAGUCAUCAUGGCCCUUACGACCUGGGCUACACACGUGCUACAAUGGCCAGUACAGAGGGCUGCAAACCCGCGAGGGAGAGCCAAUCUCACAAAGCUGGUCGUAGUCCGGAUCGCAGUCUGCAACUCGACUGCGUGAAGUUGGAAUCGCUAGUAAUCGUGAAUCAGAAUGUCACGGUGAAUACGUUCCCGGGCCUUGUACACACCGCCCGUCACACCAUGGGAGUGGGUUGCAAAAGAAGUGGCUAGUCUAACCUUCGGGGGGACGGUCACCACUUUGUGAUUCAUGACUGGGGUGAAGUCGUAACAAGGUAGCCCUAGGGGAACCUGGGGCUG
rnacentral:rRNA from 1 species